rnacentral:rRNA from 1 species
AGCGAACGCUGGCGGCAGGCUUAACACAUGCAAGUCGAGCGGGCACUUCGGUGUCAGCGGCAGACGGGUGAGUAACACGUGGGAACGUACCCUUCGGUUCGGAAUAACGCUGGGAAACUAGCGCUAAUACCGGAUACGCCCUUUUGGGGAAAGGUUUACUGCCGAAGGAUCGGCCCGCGUCUGAUUAGCUAGUUGGUGGGGUAAUGGCCUACCAAGGCGACGAUCAGUAGCUGGUCUGAGAGGAUGAUCAGCCACACUGGGACUGAGACACGGCCCAGACUCCUACGGGAGGCAGCAGUGGGGAAUAUUGGACAAUGGGCGCAAGGCUGAUCCAGCCAUGCCGCGUGAGUGAUGAAGGCCUUAGGGUUGUAAAGCUCUUUUGUCCGGGACGAUAAUGACGGUACCGGAAGAAUAAGCCCCGGCUAACUUCGUG